GGCUCCUGUGCGGCCAGAGCCUCCCCGACGAGCGCCGCUUCCUGCUCCACGGCGCCCAGUCCUAUCGACCACCCAAGGGCUGAGGAGUGCGGGCACACGGCGCGGGACUGGCAGGCAGCUCCACCUACAGCCCCGGUGCCGUAUCCACUGGGAGAAGCCAGCUGGGCUCCUGAGUCUGGUGGGACCUUGGAGAACCUUUAUAUCUAGCUCAGGGAUUGUAAAUACACCAAUCGGCACUCUGUAUCUAGCUCAAGGUUUGUAAACACACCAAUCAGUACCCUGUGUCUAGCUCAGGGUUUGUGAAUGCACCAAUCGACACUCUGUAUCUAGCUACUCUGGUGGGGCCUUGGAGAACCUUUAUGUCCACACUCUGUAUCUAGCUAAUCUGGUGGGGACGUGGAGAACCUUUGUGUCUAGCUCAGGGAUUGUAAACACACCGAUCAGUGCCCUGUCAAAACAGACCACUCGGCUCUACCAAUCCGCAGGAUGUGGGUGGGGCCAGAUAAGAGAAUAAAAGCAGGCUGCCCCAACCAGCAGUGGCAACUUGCUGGGGUCCCCUUCCACGGUGUGGAAGCUUUGUUCUCUCGCUCUUUACAAUAAAUCUUGCUACUGCUCACUCUUUGGGUCCACACUGCCUUUAUGAGCUGUAACACUCACCCUGAAGGUCUGCAGCUUCACUCCUGAAGCCAGCAAGACCAUGAGCCCACCGAGAAGAACGAACAACUCCAGACGCGCCGCCUAAAGAGCUGUAACGCUCACUGCGAAGGUCUGCAGCUUCACUCCUGAGCCAGGGAGACCACGAACCCACCAGAAGGAAGAAACUCCGAACACAUCUGAACAUCAGAAGGAACAAACUCCGGACACGCAGCCUUUAAGAACUGUAACACUCACCGCGAGGGUCCGCGGCUUCAUUCUUGACGUCAGUGAGACCAAGAACCCACCAAUUCCAGGCACAAUAGUUCCAGGCUCUGUUAUUGUGGCUAAUAAUAUAAGGCCUAGGUGACAGUAUGGCACUUCUGAGUUUAAGUUAUGAAAGAUGGUGGCUUUCAUUUAGGUCUCUGGAUCUCUCUCUCUAUCACUUUAUCUGCCAAGCUGCUGUGUUUUAAGCAGCCCUCUAGAGAGACUUUUAUGGUAAGGAAGUAUAGUAUUAUACUAUCUGGCCAAUAGCCAGAGAAGAAUUGAGAUCUCCCAACAACCAUGUGACUGAACUUGGAAGCAGACCCUUCUUUCCCAGCUGAAUCUUCUUGAGAUGUCUGGAGCCCUGGCUAACAGCUUAAUAACCUCAAGAGAGAAUCUGGGCAAGAACGACUCAGUCACUUAAAAGGAUAAAUAUUAAUGGACAUAAUCAUGAAACUAUCUGUGAAAGUCAUUUGAAGAUAGUGAUAAAGGCGUAUUGACAGAAUCUACAUUUGAUACAUUGAAAAAAAUCAUUGAAAAAGAAGGCAGAAAUAAAUGAACAAUGAUUGAAUACCAGUAAACUUGGUGCUUUGCACACUGCCUUUGAUUUCAUUCUCCCAAAAUAUCUGUGAAAUAGAUAUUAUUUGUCAUUUGCAGAUGAGAAAACUAAGGCUCAGGGAACUUAUUUGUCCUAGGUCACACACAUACAAAAACCCAAGAAACAAUAAAAAGAAAGAAAG
rnacentral:lncRNA from 1 species